rnacentral:rRNA from 1 species
AGUGAACGCUGGCGGUAGGCCUAACACAUGCAAGUCGAACGGCAGCACAGUAAGAGCUUGCUCUUACGGGUGGCGAGUGGCGGACGGGUGAGGAAUACAUCGGAAUCUACUUUUUCGUGGGGGAUAACGUAGGGAAACUUACGCUAAUACCGCAUACGACCUACGGGUGAAAGCAGUGGAUCUUCGCACCUUGCGCGAUUGAAUGAGCCGAUGUCGGAUUAGCUAGUUGGCGGGGUAAAGGCCCACCAAGGCGACGAUCCGUAGAUGGUCUGAGAGGAUGAUCAGCCACACUGGAACUGAGACACGGUGCAGAGUCCUAGGGGAGGCAGCAGUGGGGAAUAUUGGACAAUGGGCGCAAGCCUGAUCCAGCCAUACCGCGUGGGUGAAGAAGGCCUUCGGGUUGUAAAGCCCUUUUGUUGGGAAAGAAAAGCAGCAGGUUAAUACCCCGCUGUUCUGACGGUACCCAAAGAAUAAGCACCGGCUAACUUCGUG